rnacentral:rRNA from 1 species
AUUGAACGCUGGCGGCAUGCUUUACACAUGCAAGUCGAACGGCAGCGCGGGCUUCGGCCUGGCGGCGAUUGGCGAACGGGUGAGUAAUACAUCGGAACGUGCCCAGUAGUGGGGGAUAGCUCGGCGAAAGCCGGAUUAAUACCGCAUACGACCUGAGGGUGAAAGCGGGGGAUCUUCGGACCUCGCGCUAUUGGAGCGGCCGAUGGCAGAUUAGCUAGUUGGUGGGGUAAAGGCCUACCAAGGCGACGAUCUGUAGCUGGUCUGAGAGGACGACCAGCCACACUGGGACUGAGACACGGCCCAGACUCCUACGGGAGGCAGCAGUGGGGAAUUUUGGACAAUGGGAGGAAGCCUGAUCCAGCAAUGCCGCGUGUGUGAUGAAGGCCUUCGGGUUGUAAAGCACUUUUGGCGGGAACGAAAAGGACUGUGCCAAUACCACGGUUCGAUGACGGUACCCGAAGAAUAAGCACCGGCUAACUACGUG